rnacentral:rRNA from 1 species
UACGGGGGGGGUAAGCGUUGUUCGGAAUUACUGGGCGUAAAGGGCUCGUAGGCGGCCAACUAAGUCAGACGUGAAAUCCCUCAGCUUAACUGGGGAACUGCGUCUGAUACUGGAUGGCUUGAGAUUGGGAGAGGGAUGCGGAAUUCCAGGUGUAGCGGUGAAAUGCGUAGACAUCUGGAGGAACACCGGUGGCGAAGGCGGCAUCCUGGACCAACACUGACACUGAGGAGCGAAAGCCAGGGGAGCAAACGGG